GUGAGGAGAGAAAGAAAAAAAAAAGGGAGAGAAGGAAGAGAGAAAGGAGAGGGAGGAGGACUUCCGGCCAUGGACUGGUCACCGGUCUGAUCGCCGGACCCUCACCGGCCGCCGCCGCCGGCCACCGUCCACGGUGGCCGGAAAAGGUAGUGGGUGAAGAAGGAACAACCACCCAUGUUUUUGGCCUGAAAAUCUGGGAAGUGGGUGCCCCAAAUCACGUAAUCUGCCUGAAGGACCAAAUCACAAAUGCAACAAAACUUCUGGGGCUAAAUGUAAUUUUUAGAAAAUUUAGGGUGAAAAUGUAAUUUAAAGAAAGUUUAGGGGCCUAAGAUGUAAUUUUUUUUGAAAUUUUUUUAUUUUUUAUUUUAUUUUUUUGAAAUUUUGGAACUUAAACACGAAUUCUAGUCGGACAAAAAUUUAGUCUCCUUCACUGGAA